AGGCACAUACACAUGCAAGUCGAACGGUAACAGGAAGCAGCUUGCUGCUUCGCUGACGAGUGGCGGACGGGUGAGUAAUGUCUGGGAAACUGCCUGAUGGAGGGGGAUAACUACUGGAAACGGUGGCUAAUACCGCAUAACGUCGCAAGACCAAAGAAGGGGGACCUUCGGGCCUCUUGCCAUCAGAUGUGCCCAGAUGGGAUUAGCUUGUUGGUGAGGUAACGGCUCACCAAGGCGACGAUCCCUAGCUGGUCUGAGAGGAUGACCAGCCACACUGGAACUGAGACACGGUCCAGACUCCUACGGGAGGCAGCAGUGGGGAAUAUUGCACAAUGGGCGCAAGCCUGAUGCAGCCAUGCCGCGUGUAUGAAGAAGGCCUUCGGGUUGUAAAGUACUUUCAGCGGGGAGGAAGGUGUUGUGGUUAAUAACCGCAGCAAUUGACGUUACCCGCAGAAGAAGCACCGGCUAACUCCGUGCCAGCAGCCGCGGUAAUACGGAGGGUGCAAGCGUUAAUCGGAAUUACUGGGCGUAAAGCGCACGCAGGCGGUCUGUCAAGUCGGAUGUGAAAUCCCGGGGCUCAACCUGGGAACUGCAUUCGAAACUGGCAGGCCUGAGUCUUGUAGAGGGGGGUAGAAUUCAGGUGUAGCGGUGAAUUGCGUAGAGAUCUGGAGGAAUACCGGUGGCGAAGGCGGGCCCCUGGACAAAGACUGACGCUCAGGUGCGAAAGCGUGGGGACC
rnacentral:rRNA from 1 species